UGGGGAAUAUUGCGCAAUGGGCGAAAGCCUGACGCAGCCAUGCCGCGUGUGUGAAGAAGGCCUUAGGGUUGUAAAGCACUUUCAAUUGGGAAGAAAAGUUUGUCGUUAAUAGCGCCAAGCUCUGACAUUACCUUUAGAAGAAGCACCGGCUAACUCCGUGCCAGCAGCCGCGGUAAUACGGAGGGUGCGAGCGUUAAUCGGAAUUACUGGGCGUAAAGCGCGCGUAGGCGGUUUGUUAAGUCAGCUGUGAAAGCCCCGGGCUCAACCUGGGAACUGCAGUUGAUACUGGCCGACUAGAGUACGAGAGAGGGAGGUAGAAUUCCAUGUGUAGCGGUGAAAUGCGUAGAUAUAUGGAGGAAUACCAGUGGCGAAGGCGGCCUCCUGGCUUGAUACUGACGCUGAGGUGCGAAAGCGUGGGGAUCAAACAGGAUUAGAUACCCUGGUAGUCCACGCCGUAAACGAUGUCUACUAGCCGUUGGGAGACUUGAUUUCUUAGUGGCGCAGCUAACGCAAUAAGUAGACCGCCUGGGGAGUACGGCCGCAAGGUUA
rnacentral:rRNA from 1 species